rnacentral:rRNA from 1 species
UGGGGAAUAUUGCACAAUGGGCGCAAGCCUGAUGCAGCCAUGCCGCGUGUGUGAAGAAGGCCUUCGGGUUGUAAAGCACUUUCAGCGGGGAGGAAGGCGAUAAGGUUAAUAACCUUGUCGAUUGACGUGACCCGCAGAAGAAGCACCGGCUAACUCCGUGCCAGCAGCCGCGGUAAUACGGAGGGUGCAAGCGUUAAUCGGAAUUACUGGGCGUAAAGCGCACGCAGGCGGUCUGUCAAGUCGGAUGUGAAAUCCCCGGGCUCAACCUGGGAACUGCAUCUGAUACUGGCAAGCUUGAGUCUCGUAGAGGGGGGUAGAAUUCCAGGUGGAGCGGUGAAAUGCGUAGAGAUCUGGAGGAAUACCGGUGGCGAAGGCGGCCCCCUGGACAAAGACUGACGCUCAGGUGCGAAAGCGUGGGGAGCAAACAGG